rnacentral:rRNA from 1 species
CAUGCAGUCGAGCGGUAGAGAGAAGCUUGCUUCUCUUGAGAGCGGCGGACGGGUGAGUAAUGCCUAGGAAUCUGCCUGGUAGUGGGGGAUAACGUUCGGAAACGGACGCUAAUACCGCAUACGUCCUACGGGAGAAAGCAGGGGACCUUCGGGCCUUGCGCUAUCAGAUGAGCCUAGGUCGGAUUAGCUAGUUGGUGGGGUAAUGGCUCACCAAGGCGACGAUCCGUAACUGGUCUGAGAGGAUGAUCAGUCACACUGGAACUGAGACACGGUCCAGACUCCUACGGGAGGCAGCAGUGGGGAAUAUUGGACAAUGGGCGAAAGCCUGAUCCAGCCAUGCCGCGUGUGUGAAGAAGGUCUUCGGAUUGUAAAGCACUUUAAGUUGGGAGGAAGGGUUGUAGAUUAAUACUCUGCAAUUUUGACGUUACCGACAGAAUAAGCACCGGCUAACUCUGUGCCAGCAGCCGCGGUAAUACAGAGGGUGCAAGCGUUAAUCGGAAUUACUGGGCGUAAAGCGCGCGUAGGUGGUUAGUUAAGUUGGAUGUGAAAUCCCCGGGCUCAACCUGGGAACUGCAUUCAAAACUGACUGACUAGAGUAUGGUAGAGGGUGGUGGAAUUUCCUGUGUAGCGGUGAAAUGCGUAGAUAUAGGAAGGAACACCAGUGGCGAAGGCGACCACCUGGACUGAUACUGACACUGAGGUGCGAAAGCGUGGGGAGCAAACAGGAUUAGAUACCCUGGUAGUCCACGCCGUAAACGAUGUCAACUAGCCGUUGGGAGCCUUGAGCUCUUAGUGGCGCAGCUAACGCAUUAAGUUGACCGCCUGGGGAGUACGGCCGCAAGGUUAAAACUCAAGAA